GAAAGAAAACACUGAUUGGUUCACGUGCGCGCGUCUCACCCGCGAGCGCACUUCUUACAAAUCCUCGCGCGUUUGUUGUUCCGCCGGAAACAGCGUGCUACUGUUACAACACGACACGCUCAUGUUUCCACACGCGGACUGCGUAAGCCGGGUUGCAUUCUCUGAUAGCUGUCUCACACUUUGACAAGUGAGCGCUGUCAAGUGCUUCCGUUCAGCCCAGGAGCUGGAGACUUUAUUCACUACUGUUUGCUUUCCGAUCUUAAAGCAGCGUCACUCUGCAAUAAAGCGCUGAGCAAGAUCUGUUACUGCUGUGCACUUCAUACACCUAAAUGACACUGUCCGAUCGGCGGUUCGUGUCAGCAGGAGGAGAGAGAGAGGGAGAGAGAGAGAGAGAGAGAGAGAGAAAGAGGGGGGGAAAGGAGAAGAUGGAAAAGAAACGGGUCCUGAGUGGGUGCAGAAGUGUCCAAUUCCUCCCUUCAGAACAUUUCGACCUUCGCACACCAAGCUGGAGCAGACACGCGAAGACAAGCAAGGAUGGAGAGGGUAAAAAAAAGAGAGAGGUGUGGAGACAGACAGACAGACAGAGAGAGAGAGGGAGAGAGAGAG